AGUGAACGCUGGCGGUAGGCCUAACACAUGCAAGUCGAACGGCAGCACAGUAAGAGCUUGCUCUUACGGGUGGCGAGUGGCGGACGGGUGAGGAAUACAUCGGAAUCUACUUUUUCGUGGGGGAUAACGUAGGGAAACUUACGCUAAUACCGCAUACGACCUACGGGUGAAAGCAGGGGAUCUUCGGACCUUGCGCGAUUGAAUGAGCCGAUGUCGGAUUAGCUAGUUGGCGGGGUAAAGGCCCACCAAGGCGACGAUCCGUAGCUGGUCUGAGAGGAUGAUCGGCCACACUGGAACUGAGACACGGUCCAGACUCCUACGGGAGGCAGCAGUGGGGAAUAUUGGACAAUGGGCGCAAGCCUGAUCCAGCCAGACCGCGUGGGUGAAGAAGGCCUUCGGGUUGUAAAGCCCUUUUGUUGGGAAAGAAAAGCAGCAGGUUAAUACCCCGCUGUUCUGACGGUACCCAAAGAAUAAGCACCGGCUAACUUCGUG
rnacentral:rRNA from 1 species